GUAGAGACCGAUAGCAACCACGUGAUCAGUAAAAAUCGUGUAUUUUCACGUGAAAUUAUUUUUCGGAAUUCCGUACAUCGCCAUAGAGUAGUUGAAAAACAAAAAGGGGUUCCGAAAGUACAAGUUGCUGUGACUGAAUCGAUGAUUGAGAGGGUCGUCUCGACGAAAGAUAUAGAAAUUUGGCCAUAGUUUAGAUUAGGAAUACGUCAAUGUAAUAAUAGUGGACUAAAUGUUUCGUCCGUGCAGAAUGGCACUUUUUACCUCACGAAAUUCACCACCAUGCAUAGCUGCGCUACGUAAACAAAGUUGUUGAUGUAGCGUGAUCGUGGUGUCCGAGUGCUGCGAGUUUCAAUACUGUUUAUGUAGUCAUUGAGAGUUUAAACAAAGUUUCUUCUGAGAAGAGGAAUUCGAUGGAUGCAUUCAACGUGGACAACGAAAUCAUAAUUUCGUUUGCAUCAUCCUAAGGACCAGUGCAAGUUGAAAUGGGCUUCCAGCCAACAACUUCCACAGCAAUUUGCCAUGAAAAUCAGCAAGAAAGGUACUUCAUUUACAUUGAUGAUGUCAUAUCCCCUGGACCCCACAACUUCACAGGUUACAGAGAAAAUUCAAGAACUUCUGCAAAAUGUGGGACUUGGAUAGAAUCAAUAAUGUAUUUGUGAGCCCAGAGCAAUGGAUAUAUUGUGCAACAUACUAAAGUGUGAAUUUAAUGGAGAACAAGUACAUGUACUCAUGUAUUACAUGUCUUUUUUAAAGACAAUAAUAUUGUAUAAAUAUAGAGGAAGUGUCAUUGUUGAUUAUUCUAAGUUUUUGAUAUAUCAAAAUCAGUAAACAUUUCUAAAUGAAAAUAAAAUACCAAUUUUAUAACUUUAA